UACGGAGGGUGCAAGCGUUAUCCGGAUUUACUGGGUUUAAAGGGUGCGCAGGCGGAUAUGUAAGUCAGUGGUGAAAUCUCCGGGCUUAACCCGGAACUGCCGUUGAUACUAUAUAUCUUGAAUGCUGUGGAGGUAAGCAGAAUAUGUCAUGUAGCGGUGAAAUGCUUAGAUAUGACAUAGAAUACCUAUUGCGAAGGCAGCUUACUACGCAGAUAUUGACGCUCAUGCACGAAAGCGUGGGGAUCAAACAGG
rnacentral:rRNA from 1 species